UGGACCUACGGGGGGCAGCAGUGGGGGAUAUUGGACAAUGGGGGAAACCCUGAUCCAGCGAUGCCGCGUGAGGGAAGAAGGUUUUCGGAUUGUAAACCUCUGUGGAGGGGGACGAUAAUGGCGGUACCCCUUUAGGAAACCACGGCUAACUACGUGCCAGCAGCCGCGGUAAUACGUAGGUGGCGAGCGUUGUCCGGAAUUACUGGGUGUAAAGGGAGUGGAGGCGGGGAAGCAAGUCAGAAGUGAAAACUAUGGGGUUAACCC
rnacentral:rRNA from 1 species